CCUGCUGAAGUUUGUAGAACGGAAAUUUGUCAGAUUUCAGGCUAGAGCAGGU
rnacentral:tRNA from 1 species